CGGCCGGAGAGCAGAGCUCCGGGACCCAGAUCCCGAGGCAUCUGGAGGAGAAGGACCUGAAGCCCAUCUUCGAACAGUUUGGUCGGAUCUUUGAGCUGACUGUCAUCAAGGACAAGUACACCGGGCUGCACAAGGGUGAGGGGUCGGGCAGGCUGAAGAGGCUUCGGGGUGGGCUGGGAGGCUGGAGGUAGUUAAGCCAGGCUGGAGGGGUGGAGCGGCUGGGAAGGGCUGAUGUGGAAGGAGAAGAGUUCAGGGCUGAGGAAAGUGGAUGGAGGAGCUGAAAAAGAACUCAGCUAGAGUGAUCAGGAAACCCCGGUGAAGGACUAAGGAGGGCCUCUUUUGGCUGAAGAGUUGUCAAGACGGCUGCAAAGAUGUGGAUCCCAGACAUAUGGGAUGUGCCUUCCUGACAUACUGUGCCCGGGAUUCAGCCCUGAAGGCCCAGAGCGCCCUGCACGAACAGAAGACGCUUCCAGGGAUGAACAGGCCGAUCCAGGUCAAGCCAGCCGACAGCGAGAGCCGAGGAGAAGACCGGAAGCUCUUUGUGGGGAUGCUAGGGAAGCAGCAGACAGAUGAGGACGUCCGCAAGAUGUUUGAGCCCUUCGGGACCAUCGACGAGUGCACUGUGCUCCGGGGGCCAGAUGGCACCAGCAAAGGCUGCGCCUUCGUGAAGUUCCAGACCCAUGCCGAGGCCCAGGCGGCCAUCAACACCCUUCACAGCAGCCGGACCCUGCCA
rnacentral:sRNA from 1 species